UCGCUGGCCUGAAACCCCAAACCAUUGUCGAUGCUCGGUUCGCCGUUCAAUGACGUCAACCUUCUCUCUCUUUAUCCUUCUCUUUUGCCUCCUCCAGUAAAAUUUUGUUAGGGUUUUAUGAGCACUUGGGUUAAAUUUUGUUAGGGUUGAGUUGAUCGAUUUGAAUUAGAGUGAUUUCUUAGAAACUUUUGGCCAAAGUUAUGAUGAUGUUUUUCAUGACUUCCCCUAUGGAAAAUUACCUUCCAUAGUGUGAUCACGAAAUACCACGUAGAACUACAUAUUCCAAUUUACAUUCCACGCGGAUCUUAGGUUUCAUUUGAUCCUGGCACAACGUAAACGUAAG